rnacentral:rRNA from 1 species
GAGUUUGAUCGUGGCUCAGGAUGAACGCUGGCGGCGUGCCUAAUACAUGCAAGUCGAGCGAACGGACGAGAAGCUUGCUUCUCUGAUGUUAGCGGCGGACGGGUGAGUAACACGUGGAUAACCUACCUAUAAGACUGGGAUAACUUCGGGAAACCGGAGCUAAUACCGGGGUAAUAUUUUGAACCGCAUGGUUCAAAAGUGAAAGACGGUCUUGCUGUCACUUAUAGAUGGAUCCGCGCUGCAUUAGCUAGUUGGUAAGGUAACGGCUUACCAAGGCAACGAUGCAUAGCCGACCUGAGAGGGUGAUCGGCCACACUGGAACUGAGACACGGUCCAGACUCCUACGGGAGGCAGCAGUAGGGAAUCUUCCGCAAUGGGCGAAAGCCUGACGGAGCAACGCCGCGUGAGUGAUGAAGGUCUUCGGAUCGUAAAACUCUGUUAUUAGGGAAGAACAUAUGUGUAAGUAACUGUGCACAUCUUGACGGUACCUAAUCAGAAAGCCACGGCUAACUACGUG